UACGUAGGGUGCAAGCGUUAAUCGGAAUUACUGGGCGUAAAGCGUGCGCAGGCGGUGAUGUAAGACAGUUGUGAAAUCCCGGGCUCAACCUGGGAACUGCAUCUGUGACUGCAUCGCUGGAGUGCGGCAGAGGGGGAUGGAAUUCCGCGUGUAGCAGUGAAAUGCGUAGAUAUGCGGAGGAACACCGAUGGCGAAGGCAAUCCCCUGGGCCUGCACUGACGCUCAUGCACGAAAGCGUGGGGAGCAAACAGG
rnacentral:rRNA from 1 species